rnacentral:snRNA from 1 species
AUGCUCGCUUCUGCAGCACAUAUACUAGAAUUGGAACAAUACAGAGAGGAUUGGCGUGGAUCCUGAGCAAGGUUAGCAUGCAAAUUCAUGAAGUGUUCCGUAUUUUU